rnacentral:rRNA from 1 species
GGGUUGUGAGGUUAAGCGACUAAGCGUACACGGUGGAUGCCCUGGCAGUCAGAGGCGAUGAAGGGCGUGCUAAUCUGCGAUAAGCGCCGGUAAGGUGAUAUGAACCGUUAUAACCGGCGAUACCCGAAUGGGGAAACCCAGUGUGACUCGUCACACUAUCAUUAACUGAAUCCAUAGGUUAAUGAGGCGAACCGGGGGAACUGAAACAUCUAAGUACCCCGAGGAAAAGAAAUCAACCGAGAUUCCCCCAGUAGCGGCGAGCGAACGGGGAGGAGCCCAGAGCCUGAAUCAGCAUGUG